UGAAGUUCUGAUUGUUUGUUGUCAAAGAGUUUCAGUUUUGUGAUGAAAGAUGUGACCUUUCUUGGCAGCAAGAGUCCUUUCUGAUUGAUUAGUAAACAUGAGCAGGUAAGACGAGGAUAGAGCACUUGCUCAGAGGAUGGUUUUUCACUUGGCACUGCUGUGCCCGGGACCAGGCUCCAAAAGCAAGCACAAGGGAACUCGUUAAGUACAACAGGAUGCGAUUAGUCCCACAUGGGGAGCUCAUGUGUUAUAUCAAAAGAAACAACAACCAGCUGGUAGAACUACUUACAUCAAGGAAAGGAAUGGUGAGGAGGAGAGCUGAGGAGAGCAGUGACCACCAGGAGAGCGAGUACUGGGUAUGAGACAAGAAGCUUUUGGAUCUACGUGGGCAUGACUGCACCCCGGUCAAGGGGACAACGUGACACACAAAGGAGGUGACCCUGCAGCGUGACAGAUCUGAAUGCACGGAGUACAGAUGGAGCAUCUCCGAGGGAUGUGGUCUGAGGAAUCACAAGUGAAAUUGAUGAGAACUUGAUGCAACACCAAGCACUUUUAUCAGAAUUUCAAUGGAAAUUCCAAGCAAAGCAGGUUGGAUGACAAGCACAUGAACACCGACCUUGGGAAGAGCAACUGACCGCUCUUGAAGCAGAUCUGCAAGGACUUAUCGCUUCCAUCUGCGCCACAGAGACAAGGGCACCGUUCUCACCCCAGUUCCACACAGACAUCCCAGAAUUGCCGACAGCCGCUGCGGCCCCAUAGCAAAAUAUUCCUGCAUGUCUCAGCAAGCUUUCCAAGCUGUGCACGCGGGGACGUGCAGCCACACACACGCCCUGUGCAGGUGGCUCCUGGGAACCCAACCGUGAGCUCUCCUUGUUGGGAAAUGGAGAACCUUCCUCCAUUUCAGCAGCUCCUCUACCAAAUUGCACCCCCCAAAAUACAGCUGGGAGAUACACGCAUAUUCAGUUCUGGGGCCUCCAACGCAAGAAGGUUAUGGAGCUGUUGGAGAGGGCUCAGAGGAGGGCCACAAAGAUGAUCAGAGAGCUGGAGCACCUUCCCUAUGGGGACAGGCUAAGAGAGCUGGGGCUCUUCAGCCUGGAGAAGAGAAGGCUCCAGGGGGACUUUAUAGCGGCCUUCCAGGACCUGAAGAGGGCCUACAGGAAAGAUGGGGAGGGACUUUUUAUAAGGGCAGGUAGUGACAGGAUGAGUGGAAACAGUUUUAAACUGGAAGUGGGUAGAUUGAGGCUGGAUAUCAGGAUGAAAUUCUUUACUGUGAGGGUGGUAAGACACAGGAACAGGUUGCCCAGUGAAGCUGUGGAUGACCCCUCCCCAGAGGUGUUCAAGCCCAGGUUGGAUGGGGCUGUGAGCAACCUAGUCUAGAGGGAGGUGUUCCUGCCUAUAGCAGGAGAGUUGAAACUAGAUGAUCUUAAAUGUCUCUUCCAACCCCAAACUGUUCUGUGAUUCUCUCCAGAUGCAUGUUGGUGGUAGGACAUAAGUGCUGCACAGCCCCUUCCAGGAGCACCUGGAGAUGCUUCCAGAAGACUCUGCCUGGACACAGUGUGCUGCUUGACCACAUCUGCCUGUUGUAAAGCGAAGUACCUAAAGCAAGCCAAAUUCAUGGAAGGCGAAGCACUUAUUUAGUGCAAUUUAGCAGUCACCUGUGCACCUGGGAAAUCUGCUUGGUGCUAAAGGUUUGCCUGAGCCCUGGUUCUGUGAGGAUAAAUGAGAACGUGUGUUGGGCAAGAGCAGCAGGAGGCAGCCAGAUCUGCACUGAGCUAACCUCAUCCCACCCAGUAUGCAAGAAAUGUAUCUGUGAAGAACUACUCGUACAACUGUGUUCAUCAGCAAAGACUUACAUUAGUGCACAGCUUCCAUUACGCCUAACUGAAACCAAAGAGAGUCAGCUCGUCUUGGACUUCAUAGCAGAGCCCAGUGAGGAUGAAAGAUCACCCCUUGUUAACAGCAAGGGGCUCAUAGGAGACUGGUGUCAGCAGCAGCAAAAAGGAAGGAGAGCGAGGCGUGCAGGAGCAGAGCAGACAUCCUUCUCACCAUCUCUUCCACGACUGUUGAACUGCUUCCUCUAAGAGAUUAAGAUGACGACCUGUCCUGCUGUCUCCGGGCUGGGAGAUAAGGUCUAUCUCUGCAUCCCAACUGUCCUCGCUGGGGAACUGCAAGGAGUGGUGCUGACAGGAGUGCAGCAAGGGAGGAGAUGGGGAGAGCAGUGAGCAGCAAAUGGAAAAUUCUGGCACUGCGGGGCUGAGCGAGAGUGUCACUGCUGACAUCACUAAAAGUAGGAUCAAACCUGAUCUAAAAAGCAAUUUGGAAUAUGAGCUUUUCUUUCCAAAUGAGCGGUAAGUGCCUUCCUUCACACGGAAUCCGGUGCAGUAAUAGUGGCUUCUAUUACACUUUAAAUUGAUUGGCUUUAUGGCCCAGAACUGGGGAAUUGCCCUAGCCUGAUCUCGGCGGGCUCAUGUUUCUAAUUCUGGCAACUCUAAAUCCGGAUGCCCUGAAAAUCCGUGCUGUUGCUUACAGUGUGUGCUGUUAUCUCCAUUUUCAUGUGUCCGGGCAAAAUAAAGGAGCCGGGAUGCACAGAAGAUUGGCCAAAAGGUGAAAAGGAAACCAGGAAAGCAAGCUAGCGAGUGCAGAAGGAAAAGUUUACAUGCAGAGUUCAUCCAUGUAUAAUCUUGAAUGAUUAUUAGAGAAUGGCUUGGGUUGGAAGGAACCUCCAUGAUCAUCCACUUCCAACCCCAUGCUAUAGACUGGUUGCCAACUGCUAGACCAGGCUGUGCACAGUCCCAACCAGCCUGGCCAUGAAUGCCUCCUUUGUAUUUGCAUUAUCCAAGACCUUUUGUAUGAGAGCGAGGUAGCAUCUCUGUGUCCUUCCAUUGGGGUCUGAAGGACAUGGAUGGAGAGAUGCAGACACCACCACGCUUCUGAGCCCACGUCAAUCCUUUGCACGGCCUGUGUGCAGCCCCAUUUAGGACAUCAGAACCUGUAUUUGUGCCACCAGGUUAAAAAAUAGCCCCACUGAAAGGAAAAGCUUAACAAGGUGCAGCACAUCGGCAUGAAGGAAAGAGCAGCUGAUGGGCUGCAGAGUGACUUGGAGGAGCUCCCACCCUGUGCUGGAGCAGAGCUCAUAACUCCGGCUCACACGGAGGACGUGCCCUGGGGGAAUUAUUCUACCUUUGAUCCGCACACGAAAUCCCAGCUGCUGUCAGAGGAGCCGUGCAUGCCUAACCACGGCUGUACAUCAUCCUAAUAAAGGCCAAAGAGAAGCUCAUAUAUAAAUGGAGUGCAAAGUUUUUUGACACUGGCUCUAAUAAAUAUCAG
rnacentral:lncRNA from 1 species